rnacentral:rRNA from 1 species
CUACGGGAGGCAGCAGUCGGGAAUUUUGGGCAAUGGGCGAAAGCCUGACCCAGCAACGCCGCGUGAAGGAUGAAGUUUUUCGGAAUGUAAACUUCGUAAGAAUAGGAAGAAUAAAUGACGGUACUAUUUGUAAGGUCCGGCUAACUACGUGCCAGCAGCCGCGGUAAUACGUAGGGACCAAGCGUUGUUCGGAUUUACUGGGCGUAAAGGGCGCGUAGGCGGCGUGUUAAGUCAGCUGUGAAAUCUCCAAGCUUAACUUGGAACGGUCAGCUGAUACUGAUGUGCUAGAGUGCAGAAAGGGCAAUCGGAAUUCUUGGUGUAGCGGUGAAAUGCGUAGAUAUCAAGAGGAACACCUGAGGCGAAGGCGGGUUGCUAGGCUGACACUGACGCUGAGGCGCGAAAGCUAGGGUAGCAAACGGGAUUAGAAACCCUAGUAGUCC